rnacentral:lncRNA from 1 species
CCAUAAUCACAUGGCAAAAUCAAAUGACAAAACACAUCAAAAACGAAUGGACAAGAACUGUCAUAUUCCUGACUUGGUACAGGCAUUUUCAAAUGUAGAAAAUGGUGGAUUAAACCUGGUUUUAUAGCGCUAAACCUCUCACUUUGUUGACAGUCUCAUCAAAUUCCGUUAUAUUUACAAUGAUGCGUGGACUAAACAGAC